AGUGGCAAAUGUUAUGUGCUUCAGAGGGAAUUAAUAGAACAGGGCAAUUAUCAAGUGAUCCAUCCCCUGUUGUCCACCCUCAGCUCCUGGCAGUUGGAGGCUUAGAGACACCCACAGCAUGGGGUUGCAUCCCUGACCAUCUUGGCUAAUAG